rnacentral:rRNA from 1 species
AGAGUUUGAUCCUGGCUCAGGAUGAACGCUAGCGGCAGGCUUAAUACAUGCAAGUCGAGGGGCAGCAUAAGUAGCAAUACUUGAUGGCGACCGGCAAACGGGUGCGGAACACGUACGCAACCUUCCUUUAAGCGGGGAAUAGCCCGGGGAAACCCGGAUUAAUACCCCAUAAUAUAUUGAGAAAGCAUUUUCUUUUUAUUAAAGAUUUAUCACUUAAAGAUGGGCGUGCGCCUGAUUAGGCAGUUGGCGGGGUAACGGCCCACCAAACCUACGAUCAGUAACUGGCGUGAGAGCGCGACCAGUCACACGGGCACUGAGACACGGGCCCGACUCCUACGGGAGGCAGCAGUAAGGAAUAUUGGUCAAUGGACGCAAGUCUGAACCAGCCAUGCCGCGUGGAGGAUGAAGGUCCUCUGGAUUGUAAACUUCUUUUAUUUGGGAAGAAAUGUGAAUUUUCUAUUUCACUUGACGGUACCAGAUGAAUAAGCACCGGCUAACUCCGUGCCAGCAGCCGCGGUAAUACGGAGGGUGCAAGCGUUAUCCGGAUUUACUGGGUUUAAAGGGUGCGCAGGCGGAUAUGUAAGUCAGUGGUGAAAUCUCUAGGCUUAACCUGGAAAUUGCCGUUGAUACUAUAUAUCUUGAAUGUUGUGGAGGUAAGCAGAAUAUGUCAUGUAGCGGUGAAAUGCUUAGAUAUGACAUAGAAUACCUAUUGCGAAGGCAGCUUACUACGCAGAUAUUGACGCUCAUGCACGAAAGCGUGGGGAUCAAACAGGAUUAGAUACCCUAGUAGUCC